UCGAAUUCUGAGGGGGAAGACGUCAAGGGUGAAGGCUGUCGCUGGCUCCCCUCGGGGGCAUGUGCACGUCUAGCUUUUCGUCGACCUUUCUCUCUCAUACACACACCUGUGCACCCGUCGUAGGCCCUCGAAAGAGGAUCUAUGUUUUUCACAUCACACUCGUCGUAUGUCUACAGAAUGUUAUUGAGAACGUCGACCUGUUUGACGGGCCGGCGGUCGAAUAUAAAAUCAUA
rnacentral:misc_RNA from 1 species